UUUGACAUGGGAUGAAAUUAGGAACCGAGUUGAGAUUUUAUACCAAGCUAAUCUCGAACCAAAUGGAGAUUUUACACUGGCUAAGCUCUAGAACAUAAUUGGAAACUUAGAAACUAAAUCCUCAAACAGAGAUUUUAAUGGGCUUAGCUUUGAAUCAAAACAAACAAUCCCUUAGGAUACAUUAUUCAACCAAGAUAAAAACACUCCUUGGUGAAAUUACAAUAAUUCCCUUUUUG
rnacentral:lncRNA from 1 species